AUGGCCGGGAUAUACCGUCCCGAGCCGCAGAACCCCACCGCGCGCCGCCAGCGCCUCGUAUCAAUCCUCCUCGGCGCCUUCUUCGCCUUCCAGCUCCUCCUCUUCGUCGCCUUUCGCUCCUCGCCGCCCUCCAAGCCCGCCCCGACCGCAUCCGCAAUCUCCUCUUCCGUACCGGAGCCGCCCAGCCGCGGCACCGAGGACUCCGGGUGCGGGGGUGGGCUCGUGUACGUCUACGACCUCCCCGCCGUCUUCAACGAGGAUCUGCUCGCCAUGUGUGAUACGCUGAUGCCGAUGUACUCGGUUUGCCCCUACCUCGCUAACGACGGGCUCGGGUUCCCGGCGGAAGGGACCAGCUUGUCGACGAUCCUGCCGGCCGAGCUUCUUGGGUCGUGGCACUCCUCCGACCAGUUCGCGCUCGAGCACAUCGUCCACCGCCGCCUGCUCUCGCACCGGUGCCGGACCACCGAUCCGGCGCGCGCUGCGGCGUUCUUCGUGCCGUUCUACGCGGGGCUGGCCGUCGGGCGCCACCUGUGGUCGGCGAACGCCACGGACGCCGACCGGGACAGGGACUGCGUCGCUCUGCUUUCGUGGCUCCACGCGCAACCGUACUACAAGCGGUCCAAUGGCUGGGACCACUUCCUCGCGCUGGGCCGCAUUACCUGGGACUUCCGCCGCAGUCCGAGCGGCGGGUGGGGCGGCAGCUUCCUCGCCAUGCCCGGGGUCGCCAACGUCACCCGCCUCGUCAUCGAGCGCGAGCCAUGGGACGCCAUGGACGUCGGCAUACCGUACCCGACCGGAUUCCACCCGCGCACCGCGGCCGACGCGCGCGCGUGGCAGCAGCACGUCACGUCAGUCCCGCGCCCCAGGCUGUUCGCCUUCGCCGGCGCGCCGCGGUCGGCCAUCAAGGGCGACUUCCGCGCGUUGCUGCUCAACGAUUGCCAGGCCGCGGGGGCCGAGUGCGGCGCGCUGGACUGCGCCGAGGGCAAGUGCAUCAAGGACAACGCGCUCGUCCUGGAGCUGUUCAUGGGCGCGCGGUUCUGCGUGCAGCCGCGCGGGGACAGCUUCACGCGCCGCUCGCUGUUCGACUGCAUGGUGGCCGGGGCCGUGCCGGUGCUGUUCUGGCGGCGGACCGCGUACCUUCAGUACCACUGGUAUCUGCCAACUGAAGACGGCCAAGAAGGGGAGUGGUCUGUCUUCAUUGAUCGCGACGAGCUGCGCGCCGGUAAUGUGACCGUGCGCGGCGUGCUGGCGGCCAUCCCAGAGGCGCGGGUGCGGCAGAUGAAGGAGCGCGUGGUGGAGAUGAUACCGCGGUUGGUUUACUCCGCCGCGGACAAGGAUGGGCUCGGCGGCGGCAUGAAGGACGCCAUGGACGUCAUGAUCGACGGCAUGCUGCGGCGGGUCGCUGAGCAGCGGCGGAAUUGGAGGAGGACGUGA
rnacentral:rRNA from 1 species